rnacentral:rRNA from 1 species
GGCGAACGGGUGAGUAACGCGUGGGUAAUCUACCCUGUGAGUGGGGAAUAACCCCCCGAAAGGAGGGCUAAUACCGCAUGAUAUCCCUCCCCCAUAAGAGGAAGGGAUGAAAGAUGGCCUCUGCAUAUGCUAUCGCUUCAGGAUGAGCCCGCGUCCUAUUAGUUAGUUGGUGAGGUAAUGGCUCACCAAGACGACAAUGGGUAGCCGGUCUGAGAGGAUGUACGGCCACACUGGGACUGAGAUACGGCCCAGACUCCUACGGGAGGCAGCAGUAAGGAAUAUUGCGCAAUGGGGGAAACCCUGACGCAGCGACGCCGCGUGGAUGAUGAAGGCCUUCGGGUUGUAAAAUCCUGUUUUGGGGGACGAAACUCCAAGGGUCCAAUAAACCCUUGGAUUGACGGUACCCCAAGAGAAAGCUCCGGCUAAUUAUGUGCCAGCAGCCGCGGUAAUACAUAAGGAGCAAGCGUUGUCCGGAAUCAUUGGGCGUAAAGGGCUCGUAGGCGGUCUUAAAAGUCAGAUGUUAAAUCUCCAGGCUUA